GACAGAGGGUGCAAACGUUGUUCGGAAUUACUGGGCGUAAAGCGCGUGUAGGCGGCUCUGAAAGUCGGAUGUGAAAGCCCUGGGCUUAACCCAGGAAGUGCAUUCGAAACUCCCGAGCUCGAGUUUCGGAGAGGCAGGCGGAAUUCUCGGUGUAGAGGUGAAAUUCGUAGAUAUCGAGAGGAACACCGGUGGCGAAGGCGGCCUGCUGGACGAUGACUGACGCUGAGACGCGAAAGCGUGGGGAGCAAACAGG
rnacentral:rRNA from 1 species